AGUGAACGCUGGCGGUAGGCCUAACACAUGCAAGUCGAACGGCAGCACAGUAAGAGCUUGCUCUUACGGUUGGCGAGUGGCGGACGGGUGAGGAAUACAUCGGAAUCUUCUUUUUCGUGGGGGAUAACGUAGGGCAGCUUACGCUAAUACCGCAUACGACCUACGGGUGAAAGCAGGGGAUCUUCGCACCUUGCGCGAUUGAAUGAGCCGAUGCCGCAUUAGCUAGUUGGCGGGGUAAAGGCCCACCAAGGCGACGAUCCGUAGCUGAUCUGAGAGGAUGAUCGGCCACACUGGAACUGAGACACGGUCCAGACUCCUACGGGAGGCAGCAGUGGGGAAUAUUGGACAAUGGGCGCAAGCCUGAUCCAGCAAUGCCGCGUGAGUGAAGAAGGCCUUCGGGUUGUAAAGCCCUUUUGUUGGGAAAGAAAAGAAGCAGGUUAAUACCCGGCUGUUCUGACGGUACCCAAAGAAUAAGCACCGGCUAACUUCGUG
rnacentral:rRNA from 1 species